AUCUCAUUGGCUCAGUUGGUUAGAGUGUUCGCUUCACAUUUCUUAACCGGGAUUUAACCCGGGAUGUUCCGCGAAAGGUCCCCGGUUCGAUCCCGGGAUGGGAUA